rnacentral:rRNA from 1 species
GACGAACGCUGGCGGCGUGCUUAACACAUGCAAGUCGAACGAAGUGGCGAACGGGUGAGUAACGCGUAAUCAACCUGCCCUUCAGAGGGGGACAACAGUUGGAAACGACUGCUAAUACCGCAUACUGAAGGAGGUGAUUGCGUCUGUUUAGCUAGUUGGAGGGGUAACGGCCCACCAAGGCGAUUAUCAGUAGCCGGUCUGAGAGGAUGAGCGGCAACAGUGGGACUGAUACACUGCCCAGACUCCUACGGGAGGCAGCAGGGGGGAAUCUGCCGCAAUGGACGAAAGUCUGACGGAGCAACGCCGCGUGAGUGAGGACGGCCUUCGGGUUGUAAAGCUCUGUCAAUCGGGACGCGGUACCGGAAUAGAAAGCCACGGCUAACUACGUGCCAGCCGCCGCGGUAAUUC